rnacentral:lncRNA from 1 species
CAUCCUUUCUUGCCUACUCUUUACUCUCACUUCGAGACUGAUAAGUUCUAUUGCUUGGUCAUGGAGUUUUGUAGCGGAGGCAAUCUUUAUUCCUUGAGGCAGAAGCAACCUAACAAGUGUUUCACAGAAGAAGCUGCAAGGUUAGUGUUCUAAAAAAAUUGGUAUAGUCAUCUCCUAAGCACCCCAUUUAGGCAGCAAAUUGGUUAUAAACGAAACGAUUUUUCUAAAAUUCAGUCUAGAUAACACAUGUCUAGGUGCUAAUCCUUCAUAAAAAACGCUUAAUUGUCUAGUAAUUUCUUGAACAUUGACAGAUACAUUAUAUUAUAUGUAGUAAUUUUGUUUAUAAAUUUAUAUUGAAAAGGCAAAACUAUGAUCUUUGUGAAACAAAUAAAAAUUCCAAAACUACUAUUUUUGGAACAGAGUUUUUAGCAUAUUAAAACAGAGCAAAACCAAAGUAUGGAAACACAACAUGUGUUCUGUUUUGUUGCUGCUUAACAGGUUCUUUGCAUCAGAAGUGCUACUAGCGUUAGAAUACUUACACAUGCUCGGAAUCGUGUACCGAGACUUAAAGCCAGAGAACGUUCUGGUCCGAGACGACGGUCACAUCAUGCUCUCCGACUUCGACUUAUCUCUCCGUUGCUCAGUCAACCCAACACUCGUCAAAUCUCCCUCCGUCCACGUCAGCAGCGGCAGCAAAACUACCACCGGAAUAAUCAACGACGAUGCGGCGGUCCAAGGAUGUUACCAACCAUCCACCUUCUUCCUGCGAAUCCUCCACUCCUCCAAGAAGAACCGAAAGUCAAAAUCCGACAUCGGCGAGGGAUCACUACCGGAACUCAUGGCAGAGCCGGCGAACGUAAAGUCGAUGUCUUUCGUCGGGACCCACGAGUACUUAGCGCCGGAGAUUAUACGCAACGAAGGCCACGGAAGCGCCGUGGACUGGUGGACGUUCGGGAUCUUUAUCUACGAGCUUCUCCACGGAGCGACGCCGUUUAAAGGGCAGGGGAACAAAGCGACGCUUUAUAACGUGAUAGGGCAGCCUCUGAGGUUCCCGGAGAAUUCUCAGGUGAGUUCCACGGCGAAGGAUUUGAUCAAAGGUUUGCUGGUGAAAGAGCCGCAGAAGAGGAUCGCGUAUAAGAGAGGCGCGACGGAGAUCAAGCAGCAUCCGUUCUUUGAAGGUGUGAACUGGGCGUUGAUCCGGGGACAGACCCCGCCGCAUGUGCCGGAGCCGGUGGACUUUUCGUGUUACGAGAGGAAAGACUUAAUAACAAUUAAACAUUUCGAGUCACGAUAAUUAUAGCUAAAGAGCUUAGCGACGAUCAGGUUGACUUGAGAAUGUUUAUGGAUUACAAUACUAAAAGGUGAUUCCACCAAAUAAAAGAAGGUGUUUCCAUACGUAGACAGUAGUACAAUAGUAAUGUCAGUGACAUGACAACAAUAAGAUCGUUCCACUUCCACAUGCUCAGGCUAAACGUGACUACCUACCCAAAGUAUUCAUCUACUGUUAAAUAUAAACUCGGAAAGUAAUGGGCUCAGUAUAUUAGGCCCAGUAAUAAUUUCAGUAGUUCAGGCCCAAGAAUCAUUUAAUAGUUUAGGCCCAGUAUAUAUACUUUCAGACCAUAAUCUCGCUUUAAUCCUCCGUCCGUAACAAACUUUUCUUCUGUUCUCCGCAAGGACAGAGUAAUGAUGAUGAAGAACAAAGCCGGUGGUGCCGGUGGCGGUAUGUCCGGAUCCGGUGAAGGAGCCGGACCAACGGCCGCAGCAGCUGCAGCAGCAUUACAGAAGCAAAAGGCGUUAUUACAGAGAGUAGAGACUGACAUCACAUCUGUCGUCGAUAACUUCACCCAAAUCGUUAAUGUCGCGAGGGUAAGUGAUGUUCCUCCCGAUUUACAGACUUGAGAUCAAUCUCAAAUGCAUAAGAAUAGACUCGAUUGAAGACUACCACCGUUGUAUUGGCCAAAGUUUUAGUCUUUUUACUCGGCUGUUAAUUGAGUUGAACUUGUUUGGUUUUUUUGGGUAGGUGAGCGAUCUUCCGGUGAAGAACUCGCAAGAAGCAUACAUGAUGGAGAUGCGAGCUUCUAAAAUGGUAAUUAACUGCUUGAAGAUGCCACCACCAUUAUUAGGGUUUAGGGCAGAAUCUUGAAUCUGAUGCGCAUAUUGUGUUAAUGGAUUGAUAUUGAAAUAUAUCUAUUGUCUACUUUGUUUUGCUAGCUUAUAUAUACACUAAUUGAGUUUGUUUUAACUGAGUUAUUUCAUUAAUAAUGAUAUGAUGGCAGGUUCAAGCAGCUGAUUCUAUUUUGAAGCUCGUAUCGGAGCUGAAGCAAACAGCGAUCUUCUCUGGAUUUGCAUCACUUAACGACCAUGUCGAGCAAAGGAUCGCAGAGUUUGAUCAAGAGGCAGAGAAGACUAAUCGACUGUUGGCUAGAAUAGGGGAUGAUGCAUCAGCGAGUCUUAAAGAGCUCGAGGCGCACUAUUACUCUUCUUCUCAGAGGUUGACUCCAGACGUUUAAGGGAUUUAGUUAAAUAGCCCAAAUAUUCAGGCUCUUAAUGGGCCUUGACAUCUAAUCUAUUUUUAUUAUUUCAACGUGUUUCAUUCGUCUACAUAGAAGGUAGAUAUCAAUACUGUUUUUAAAUUCACGACGUGCUCACCAAUCAUCGUUGACAAUGAAGCUUUUGGUAUAUUCGUGACAACAAGUAAUGUCGGAAACUAUAUGAUAAAGCAACAAAAGUCAUGAACAUUGAUGCUUUAAGUUUAAAGACCAAAGUUUUCAGUUCCCUAUCACGACGCCAGGAAACUCUUUGAUCUAACUUACCUGGUCGACGAUGUUACUGAAGCCCGGAAGCAAGGUUGUCUCGCCGAAGGUAAUCAUCUCUCAAUCAUAUCAUCCUUGAAGAAAGUAUCAGGAGUUAUACGGAUAUACACAUAUCCUAUUAGAUAUACAUGUAUAGAUAAGUUUGGCUACUUAGGGUGAUCUUGUGUGAAUAGAUAAACACAAAAUAUCAUGUCGAUAAAGACUAUAAAGUUGUGUCAUAUACACAAACUAUUUUACAGAAAGUUGUGAGACUCAUAACAAUAAUGUUCUUUUUUGGUUACUUGCAGAAGAGUCUUCAUCGUGACUCGGCCUCAACAUCUCAACAACCAUCUAGCAAAGAUAUGGAGAAACAAUUUGAUCAAAAGACAAAGAAGGUUGAGGGAUAUCUAAUAAAAACAGAGUCGUCUCUCACCAUCAAUCUGAAUACCCGACUUGUACACAGUACCAUGAGCUCACGAAGCAACAGCAUGGAAAGCACAUCAUCCAACAAGCCUCACACGGGAGGAGAUAUCAGGUGGGACGCGGUGAACUAUCUGAAAGCGAGAGGACUCAAGCUCGGAAUCAGCGAUUUCCGCGUCUUGAAACGGCUAGGUUACGGAGAUAUAGGAAGUGUUUAUCUCGUUGAGCUCAAAGGAGCACACAAGACGACGUACUUCGCGAUGAAAGUGAUGGAUAGGGCUUCUCUUGUGAGCAGGAACAAGCUGUUGAGAGCUCAGACGGAGAGAGAGAUUCUGUCUCAGCUUGAUCAUCCUUUCUUGCCUACUCUUUACUCUCACUUCGAGACUGAUAAGUUCUAUUGCUUGGUCAUGGAGUUUUGUAGCGGAGGCAAUCUUUAUUCCUUGAGGCAGAAGCAACCUAACAAGUGUUUCACAGAAGAAGCUGCAAGGUUAGUGUUCUAAAAAAAUUGGUAUAGUCAUCUCCUAAGCACCCCAUUUAGGCAGCAAAUUGGUUAUAAACGAAACGAUUUUUCUAAAAUUCAGUCUAGAUAACACAUGUCUAGGUGCUAAUCCUUCAUAAAAAACGCUUAAUUGUCUAGUAAUUUCUUGAACAUUGACAGAUACAUUAUAUUAUAUGUAGUAAUUUUGUUUAUAAAUUUAUAUUGAAAAGGCAAAACUAUGAUCUUUGUGAAACAAAUAAAAAUUCCAAAACUACUAUUUUUGGAACAGAGUUUUUAGCAUAUUAAAACAGAGCAAAACCAAAGUAUGGAAACACAACAUGUGUUCUGUUUUGUUGCUGCUUAACAGGUUCUUUGCAUCAGAAGUGCUACUAGCGUUAGAAUACUUACACAUGCUCGGAAUCGUGUACCGAGACUUAAAGCCAGAGAACGUUCUGGUCCGAGACGACGGUCACAUCAUGCUCUCCGACUUCGACUUAUCUCUCCGUUGCUCAGUCAACCCAACACUCGUCAAAUCUCCCUCCGUCCACGUCAGCAGCGGCAGCAAAACUACCACCGGAAUAAUCAACGACGAUGCGGCGGUCCAAGGAUGUUACCAACCAUCCACCUUCUUCCUGCGAAUCCUCCACUCCUCCAAGAAGAACCGAAAGUCAAAAUCCGACAUCGGCGAGGGAUCACUACCGG